rnacentral:rRNA from 1 species
CAGGAUUAGAUACCCUGGUAGUCCACGCCGUAAACGGUGGGUGCUAGUUGUGGGCCACAUUCCACGUGGUCCGUGACGAAGUUAACACAUUAAGCACCCCGCCUGGGGAGUACGGUCGCAAGACUAAAACUCAAAGGAAUUGACGGGGGCCCGCACAAGCGGCGGAGCAUGCGGAUUAAUUCGAUGCAACGCGAAGAACCUUACCAAGGCUUGACAUAUAGAGGAAACGUGCAGAAAUGUACGCCCCGCAAGGUCUCUAUACAGGUGGUGCAUGGUUGUCGUCAGCUCGUGUCGUGAGAUGUUGGGUUAAGUCCCGCAACGAGCGCAACCCUCGUCCUAUGUUGCCAGCACGUAAUGGUGGGAACUCAUGGGAGACUGCCGGGGUCAACUCGGAGGAAGGUGGGGAUGACGUCAAAUCAUCAUGCCCCUUAUGUCUUGGGCUUCACGCAUGCUACAAUGGCCAGUACAAAGGGCUGCAAUACCGUAAGGUGGAGCGAAUCCCAAAAAGCUGGUCUCAGUUCGGAUUGAGGUCUGCAGCUCGACCUCAUGAAGUCGGAGUCGCUAGUAAUCGCAGAUCAGCAACGCUGCGGUGAAUACGUUCCCGGGCCUUGUACACACCGCCCGUCAAGUCACGAAAGUCGGUAACACCCGAAGCCGGUGGCCUAACCGUAAGGAAGGAGCCGUCGAAG